GGCAGAGUUGAAAGUCCUGGGUUCAAAUCCCAGCUCUGCCA
rnacentral:tRNA from 1 species